rnacentral:tRNA from 2 species
GCGGGUAUGGCGGAAUUGGCAGACGCACUAGACUUAGGAUCUAGCGCCGCAAGGCUUGCAGGUUCAACUCCUGUUACCCGCACCA